GUGAUUAUAAUUUAAGUGGUUAGAAUUUCAAUUUGUGGUUUUGAGUAUUCUGGUUCAAGUCCAGAUUGUCACC
rnacentral:tRNA from 1 species